GACGGACCGUACGAACGUUAUUCGGAAUUACUGGGCUUAAAGGGUGCGUAGGCGGCUCAGAAAGUUGAAUGUGAAAGCCCUCGGCUUAACCGAGGAAUUGCAUCCAAAACUACUGGGCUUGAGUGAGACAGAGGUGAGCGGAACUCACGGUGGAGCGGUGAAAUGCGUUGAUAUCGUGAGGAACACCGGUGGCGAAAGCGGCUCACUGGGUCUUUGCUGACGCUGAGGCACGAAAGCUAGGGUAGCGAACGGGAUUAGAUACCCCGGUAGUCCUAGCCGUAAACGAUGAGCACUGGAUCGGAGAGUCUUCCAUAACUUUCCGGUCGUAGCGAAAGUGUUAAGUGCUCCGCCUGGGGAGUAUGGCCGCAAGGCUGAA
rnacentral:rRNA from 1 species